CUUUAUACAGGCAAAUUUUCCUGGUCACCUUCAUUAUCAGCCAAUGUUACGCUUAAAGGCGGAAUAUCUGCAAUUUUUACUGUUUUGUGAUCAGAUGGUCCCUCUAUUUCGUGAGGUGAAGGUGGAACUUCGAUGGUGGUUACUUCAUAUGUAUGCAUGGCAUGUCAAAGCCAUCUUUGGUCCUUCUCCAGAUUUAAUUCUCGAGUCAGAUGCCAACCUCUGGGGUUAGGAGCGUCUUCCACAAAGGGCUGUACGAGAGAACCAUGGUCAUAAUCCAAAGCUUUAUUAUAGAACUGUUGCACAAGACAAAGUGACUAAUUGCAUCCUGGAUGCAACUGCAUCCAGGAUGGACAAUAUUUUGGCGGUCCAGUACAUCAGCUGCCAAGGAGGAGCAAGAUUCCACUUGCU